rnacentral:pre_miRNA from 1 species
AAUUGCAUAAUGCUCCGGAUAUUAUGGCAUGUAGCAUAUAACCCUAGUCAUUAUGGUAUCAAGGUUUCGCAAAACCCAGCAUUCACUCAAAUCAUAAAAAAAACAACUUGUUGACACAUAUUCACUUCAUUUUUCAUGCCAUAAACCACUAUGUAUUGUUCAAAUGUUGGUUACUUGAUCAGGAUGACCAGUUUAAUCAGUCAACGUUUUGAACAUUAUUAUGUCAAGGAUGGUAAAAUUAGCUGAAAUUUGAACUAGGAUGGAUUUUAUGAUACUUCUAGGUUAUAGAGCAUAGGGUUAUGUGCCUCGAGUCAUAAUAUCCGGAGGUUUAUGCAACU